GACGAACGCUGGCGGCGUGCUUAACACAUGCAAGUCGAACGGAAAGGCCCUGCUUUUGUGGGGUGCUCGAGUGGCGAACGGGUGAGUAACACGUGAGUAACCUGCCCUUGACUUUGGGAUAACUUCAGGAAACUGGGGCUAAUACCGGAUAGGAGCUCCUGCUGCAUGGUGGGGGUUGGAAAGUUUCGGCGGUUGGGGAUGGACUCGCGGCUUAUCAGCUUGUUGGUGGGGUAGUGGCUUACCAAGGCUUUGACGGGUAGCCGGCCUGAGAGGGUGACCGGCCAAGUAGGGGAUGAGAUACGGCAAGGAGUACAGCGGGGGGCAGCGGUGGGCGAUAUGGGGGAGUGGGCUGAGGUGUGCUGAAGCGACGCCGCGUGAGGCAUGGCGGAGUGAGGGUUGUAAGGUACAUUCGCCUGUGACGAAGAGUGAGUGGCGGGCGUGGGUAAAGAAGAAAGGGCUAGUUAGGUG
rnacentral:rRNA from 1 species